rnacentral:rRNA from 1 species
UUAGAGUUUGAUCCUGGCUCAGGAUGAACGCUGGCGGCGUGCCUAAUACAUGCAAGUCGAACGCUUUGUGGUUCAACUGAUUUGAAGAGCUUGCUCAGAUAUGACGAUGGACAUUGCAAAGAGUGGCGAACGGGUGAGUAACACGUGGGAAACCUACCUCUUAGCAGGGGAUAACAUUUGGAAACAGAUGCUAAUACCGUAUAACAAUGACAACCGCAUGGUUGUUAUUUAAAAGAUGGUUCUGCUAUCACUAAGAGAUGGUCCCGCGGUGCAUUAGCUAGUUGGUAAGGUAAUGGCUUACCAAGGCGAUGAUGCAUAGCCGAGUUGAGAGACUGAUCGGCCACAAUGGGACUGAGACACGGCCCAUACUCCUACGGGAGGCAGCAGUAGGGAAUCUUCCACAAUGGGCGAAAGCCUGAUGGAGCAACGCCGCGUGUGUGAUGAAGGGUUUCGGCUCGUAAAACACUGUUGUAAGAGAAGAAUGACAUUGAGAGUAACUGUUCAAUGUGGGACGGUAU